GGCACGGAGAUCACUAUCUUUCAUAAAGCAAUGAAGAAUGGACAGGGAGAACUGCUGGCUGAAAAUAUGAGAAGCCAGCACAUCCUGAAAGAAAUACCCUAGAUCCGCUUAAUGGGAAACGAAGCAGCUGGAACCCUAAACAGCAAUACCAAAUGAAUAUAAGAUUGACUGUAACAAGAGGGAGCAAACUCAUGCCUUUAUUCCAUAAGGGUCUAAAUCAAAGGGGUACCA
rnacentral:lncRNA from 1 species